rnacentral:rRNA from 1 species
CAGUAGCCACGGUAAUACAGAGGGUGCGAGCGUUAAUCGGAUUUACUGGGCGUAAAGCGUGCGUAGGCGGCUUCUUAAGUCGGAUGUGAAAUCCCUGAGCUUAACUUAGGAAUUGCAUUCGAUACUGGGAAGCUAGAGUAUGGGAGAGGAUGGUAGAAUUCCAGGUGUAGCGGUGAAAUGCGUAGAGAUCUGGAGGAAUACCGAUGGCGAAGGCAGCCAUUUGGCCUAAUACUGACGCUGAGGUACGAAAGCAUGGGGAGCAAACAGGAUUAGAUACCCCUGUAGUCCCUGUCUCUUAUAC